CGCGAGCCGGUGCCCCUCCGCCCGUCCGGCAAUGAAACCCGGUGCAGCGGCCAUCAUGCCUCCCCGUCCGCUUCGCGCAUGGCCAAGCCUCCGGCUUGGAAGCACAUCAACAGAUGUUGUUUCUCUGUCCAGCAGAAGAAGUCUUCGUCGUCAGUUCGUCUCAAUCUGUAUCGUGCAGCCCUUAGUCUGCGUGAUGAUGUUCAAAAUCUUAGUCGCUCACAAUUGAUCAAUACACGAGCCGGGUCCCGCCGUCAGCUCCAUCCUCUGCAGUCAACAUCCAGUCAGCGUCCAAGUCAGCUUCCUGGGUCCCAGAUGUCAUUCCCUGGGGCUAGUUUUCUCUCG